rnacentral:rRNA from 1 species
CACGUAGGGCGCAAGCGUUGUCCGGAAUUAUUGGGCGUAAAGAGCUCGUAGGCGGUCUGUUGCGUCCGCUGUGAAAACUCGGGGCUUAACCCCGAGCCUGCAGUGGAUACGGGCAGACUAGAGGUAGGUAGGGGAGAAUGGAAUUCCCGGUGUAGCGGUGAAAUGCGCAGAUAUCGGGAGGAACACCGGUGGCGAAAGCGAGGUCCUGGACGUCUUCUGACGCUGAGACGCGAAAGCUAGGGGAGCGAACGGG